rnacentral:rRNA from 1 species
CCUACGGGUGGCUGCAGUGAGGAAUAUUGGUCAAUGGACGAGAGUCUGAACCAGCCAAGUAGCGUGAAGGAUGACUGCCCUAUGGGUUGUAAACUUCUUUUAUAUGGGAAUAAAAUGUUCCACGUGUGGGUUUUUGUAUGUACCAUAUGAAUAAGGAUCGGCUAACUCCGUGCCAGCAGCCGCGGUAAUACGGAGGGUCCGAGCGUUAUCCGGAUUUAUUGGGUUUAAAGGGGGCGUAGGUGGAUUGUUAAGUCAGUUGUGAAAGUUUGCGGCUCAACCGUAGAAUUGCAGUUGAAACUGGCAGUCUUGAGUACAGUAGAGGUGGGCGGAAUUCGUGGUGUAGCGGUGAAAUGCUUAGAUAUCACGAAGAACUCCGAUUGCGAAGGCAGCUCUCUGGACUGCAACUGACACUGAGGCUCGAAAGUGUGGGUAUCAAACAGGAUUAGAUACCCGUGUAGUC